rnacentral:rRNA from 1 species
CCUACGGGAGGCAGCAGUGGGGAAUAUUGCACAAUGGGCGAAAGCCUGAUGCAGCAACGCCGCGUGGAGGAAGAAGGUCUUCGGAUUGUAAACUCCUGUCUUUGGGGACGAAAAAAAUGACGGUACCCAAGGAGGAAGCCACGGCUAACUACGUGCCAGCAGCCGCGGUAAU